rnacentral:rRNA from 1 species
UACGAAGGGGGCUAGCGUUGCUCGGAUUUACUGGGCGUAAAGGGAGCGUAGGCGGAUAGUUCAGUCAGAGGUGAAAUCCCGGGGCUCAACCUCGGAACUGCCUUUGAUACUGGCCAUCUUGAGUAUGGGAGAGGUGUGUGGAACUCCGAGUGUAGAGGUGAAAUUCGUAGAUAUUCGGAAGAACACCAGUGGCGAAGGCGACACACUGGCCCAUUACUGACGCUGAGGCUCGAAAGCGUGGGGAGCAGACAGG